CCCUUAGAUGUUCUGGGCCGCACGCGCGCUACACUGACGAAGUCAGCGAGCUUGUCCUACGCCGACAGGUGCGGGGAAUCUUGUCAAACUUCGUCGUGAUGGGGAUUGAUUAUUGAAAUUCUUGAUCAUCAACGAGGAAUUCCUAGUAAGCGCAAGUCAGCAGCUUGCGUUGAUUACGUCCCUGCCCUUUGUACACACCGCCCGUCGCUACUACCGAUUGAAUGGUUUAGUGAGAUCUUCGGAUUGGCGCCACUGCGGCUCAGCAAUGGGCUCGGUGGAUGCCGAAAAGUUGAUCAAACUUGAUCAUUUAGAGGAAGUAAAAGUCGUAACA
rnacentral:rRNA from 1 species